rnacentral:rRNA from 1 species
CCUACGGGAGGCAGCAGUAAGGAAUAUUGGUCAAUGGGCGCAAGUCUGAACCAGCCAUGCCGCGUGCAGGAUGAAGGCCCUCAGGGUUGUAAACUGCUUUUCUCAGGGAAGAAACCCUCGUUUUCUACGAGGCUGACGGUACCUGACGAAUAAGCACCGGCUAACUCCGUGCCAGCAGCCGCGGUAAUACGGAGGGUGCGAGCGUUAUCCGGAUUCACUGGGUUUAAAGGGUGUGUAGGCGGACAGGUAAGUCAGCGGUGAAAGCCCCCAGCUUAACUUGGGAAUUGCCGUUGAUACUAUCUGUCUUGAAUGUUGUGGAGGCGAGCGGAAUAUGAUCAUGUAGCGGUGAAAUGCUUAGAUAUGCCAUAGAACACCGAUUGCGAAGGCAGCUCGCUACGCUACCAUUGACGCUGAGGCACGAAAGCGUGGGGAGCAAACAGGAUUAGAUACCCUGGUAGUCCACGCCCUAAACGAUGAUCACUCGACAUUGGCGAUAUACUGUCAGUGUCUAAGCGAAAGCAUUAAGUGAUCCACCUGGGGAGUACGACCGCAAGGGUUGAAACUCAAAGAAUUGACGG